GACAGCAGUAGCCGCGGUAAUACAGAGGGUGCGAGCGUUAAUCGGAUUUACUGGGCGUAAAGCGUGCGUAGGCGGCUAAUUGAGUCGGAUGUGAAAUCCCCGAGCUUAACUUGGGAAUUGCAUUCGAUACUGGUUAGCUAGAGUGUGGGAGAGGAUGGUAUAAUUCCAGGUGUAGCGGUGAAAUGCGUAGAGAUCUGGAGGAAUACCGAUGGCGAAGGCAGCCAUCUGGCCUAACACUGACGCUGAGGUACGAAAGCAUGGGGAGCAAACAGGAUUAGAUACCCCAGUAGUCCCUGUCUCUUAUAC
rnacentral:rRNA from 1 species